AUUGAACGCUGGCGGCAGGCCUAACACAUGCAAGUCGAACGAGUGGCGGACGGGUGUGUAAUGUCUGUGAAACUCCCCGAUGGAGGGGGAUAACUUCUGGAACCGGUAGCUAAUACCGCAUACCAUCGGAUGUGCCCAGAUGGGAUUAGCUAUUAGGUGGGGUAACGGCUCACCUAGGCGACGAGCCCUAGCUGGUCUGAGAGGAUGACCAGCCAACCUGGAACUGAGACACGGUCCAGACUCCAACGGGGGGCAGCAGUGGGGAAUAUUGGACAAGGGGCGCAAGCCGGAUGCAGCCAUGCGGGGUGUAGGAAGAAGGCCUUCGGGUGGUAAAGUACUUUCAGCGGGGAGGCGUUAACCGCAGAAGAAGCACCGGCUAACUCCGUGCCAGCAGCCGCGGUAAUAC
rnacentral:rRNA from 1 species